AUGAACGCUAGCUACAGGCUUAACACAUGCAAGUCGAGGGGCAGCAUGGUCUUAGCUUGCUAAGACUGAUGGCGACCGGCGCACGGGUGAGUAACACGUAUCCAACCUGCCGUCUACUCUUGGACAGCCUUCUGAAAGGAAGAUUAAUACAAGAUGGCAUCAUGAGUCCGCAUGUUCACAUGAUUAAAGGUAUUCCGGUAGACGAUGGGGAUGCGUUCCAUUAGAUAGUAGGCGGGGUAACGGCCCACCUAGUCUUCGAUGGAUAGGGGUUCUGAGAGGAAGGUCCCCCACAUUGGAACUGAGACACGGUCCAAACUCCUACGGGAGGCAGCAGUGAGGAAUAUUGGUCAAUGGGCGAGAGCCUGAACCAGCCAAGUAGCGUGAAGGAUGACUGCCCUAUGGGUUGUAAACUUCUUUUAUAAAGGAAUAAAGUCGGGUAUGCAUACCCGUUUGCAUGUACUUUAUGAAUAAGGAUCGGCUAACUCCGUGCCAGCAGCCGCGGUAAUACGGAGGAUCCGAGCGUUAUCCGGAUUUAUUGGGUUUAAAGGGAGCGUAGAUGGAUGUUUAAGUCAGUUGUGAAAGUUUGCGGCUCAACCGUAAAAUUGCAGUUGAUACUGGAUAUCUUGAGUGCAGUUGAGGCAGGCGGAAUUCGUGGUGUAGCGGUGAAAUGCUUAGAUAUCAGGAAGAACUCCGAUUGCGAAGGCAGCCUGCUAAGCUGCAACUGACAUUGAGGCUCGAAAGUGUGGGUAUCAAACAGGAUUAGAUACCCUGGUAGUCCACACGGUAAACGAUGAAUACUCGCUGUUUGCGAUAUACUGCAAGCGGCCAAGCGAAAGCGUUAAGUAUUCCACCUGGGGAGUACGCCGGCAACGGUGAAACUCAAAGGAAUUGACGGGGGCCCGCACAAGCGGAGGAACAUGUGGUUUAAUUCGAUGAUACGCGAGGAACCUUACCCGGGCUUAAAUUGCAGAUGAAUUACGGUGAAAGCCGUAAGCCGCAAGGCAUCUGUGAAGGUGCUGCAUGGUUGUCGUCAGCUCGUGCCGUGAGGUGUCGGCUUAAGUGCCAUAACGAGCGCAACCCUUGUUGUCAGUUACUAACAGGUUCUGCUGAGGACUCUGACAAGACUGCCAUCGUAAGAUGUGAGGAAGGUGGGGAUGACGUCAAAUCAGCACGGCCCUUACGUCCGGGGCUACACACGUGUUACAAUGGGGGGUACAGAGGGCCGCUACCACGCGAGUGGAUGCCAAUCCCCAAAACCUCUCUCAGUUCGGACUGGAGUCUGCAACCCGACUCCACGAAGCUGGAUUCGCUAGUAAUCGCGCAUCAGCCACGGCGCGGUGAAUACGUUCCCGGGCCUUGUACACACCGCCCGUCAAGCCAUGGGAGCCGGGGGUACCUGAAGUGCGUAACCGCGAGGAGCGCCCUAGGGUAAAACUGGUGACUGGGGCU
rnacentral:rRNA from 1 species